ACACUCCUACGGGAGGCAGCAGUGGGGAAUAUUGGACAAUGGGCGCAAGCCUGAUCCAGCCAUGCCGCGUGAGUGAUGAAGGCCCUAGGGUUGUAAAGCUCUUUCACCGGAGAAGAUAAUGACGGUAUCCGGAGAAGAAGCCCCGGCUAACUUCGUGCCAGCAGCCGCGGUAAUACGAAGGGGGCUAGCGUUGUUCGGAAUUACUGGGCGUAAAGCGCACGUAGGCGGAUCGAUCAGUCAGGGGUGAAAUCCCAGGGCUCAACCCUGGAACUGCCUUUGAUACUGUCGAUCUGGAGUAUGGAAGAGGUGAGUGGAAUUCCGAGUGUAGAGGUGAAAUUCGUAGAUAUUCGGAGGAACACCAGUGGCGAAGGCGGCUCACUGGUCCAUUACUGACGCUGAGGUGCGAAAGCGUGGGGAGCAAACAGGAUUAGAAACCCUUGUAGUCCCA
rnacentral:rRNA from 1 species